CCUACGGGUGGCAGCAGUGAGGAAUAUUGGUCAAUGGACGAGAGUCUGAACCAGCCAAGUAGCGUGAAGGAUGACUGCCCUAUGGGUUGUAAACUUCUUUUAUAUGGGAAUAAAACGUUCCACGUGUGGGAUUUUGUAUGUACCAUAUGAAUAAGGAUCGGCUAACUCCGUGCCAGCAGCCGCGGUAAUACGGAGGAUCCGAGCGUUAUCCGGAUUUAUUGGGUUUAAAGGGAGCGUAGGUGGAUUGUUAAGUCAGUUGUGAAAGUUUGCGGCUCAACCGGAAAAUUGCAGUUGAAACUGGCAGUCUUGAGUACAGUAGAGGUGGGCGGAAUUCGUGGUGUAGCGGUGAAAUGCUUAGAUAUCACGAAGAACUCCGAUUGCGAAGGCAGUUCACUGGACUGCAACUGACACUGAGGCUCGAAGGUGUGGGUAUCAAACAGGAUUAGAUACCCUUGUAGUC
rnacentral:rRNA from 1 species